rnacentral:rRNA from 1 species
UUGCACAAUGGGCGCAAGCCUGAUGCAGCAACGCCGCGUGAGGGACGACGGCCUUCGGGUUGUAAACCUCUUUUAGUAGGGAAGAAGCGAAAGUGACGGUACCUGCAGAAAAAGCACCGGCUAACUACGUGCCAGCAGCCGCGGUAAUACGUAGGGUGCAAGCGUUGUCCGGAAUUAUUGGGCGUAAAGAGCUCGUAGGCGGUUUGUCGCGUCUGCUGUGAAAUCCCGAGGCUCAACCUCGGGCCUGCAGUGGGUACGGGCAGACUAGAGUGCGGUAGGGGAGAUUGGAAUUCCUGGUGUAGCGGUGGAAUGCGCAGAUAUCAGGAGGAACACCGAUGGCGAAGGCAGAUCUCUGGGCCGUAACUGACGCUGAGGAGCGAAAGCGUGGGGAGCGAACAGGAUUAGAUACCCUGGUAGUCCACGCCGUAAACGUUGGGAACUAGAUGUGGGGACCAUUCCACGGUCUCCGUGUCGCAGCUAACGCAUUAAGUUCCCCGCCUGGGGAGUACGGCCGCAAGGCUAAAA